rnacentral:rRNA from 1 species
AUUGAACGCUGGCGGCAGGCUUAACACAUGCAAGUCGAACGAGUGGCGGACGGGUGAGUAAUGCUUGGGAAUCUGGCUUAUGGAGGGGGAUAACGACGGGACACUGUCGCUAAUAACGCGUACCAAAGGAUGAGCACAAGUGGGAAUAGGUAGUGGGUGGGGUAAGGGCCUACCAAGCCGACGAUCUCUAGCUGGUCUGAGAGGAUGACCAGCCACACCGGGACGGCGCCACGGCCCGGACUCCUACGGGAGGCAGCAGUGGGGAAUAUUGCGCAAUGGGGGCAAGCCUGAUGCAGCCAUGCCGCGUGUCUGAAGAAGGCCUUCGGGUUGUAAAGUACUUUUGUCAGGGAAGCGGUACCUGAAGAAUAAGCACCGGCUAACUCCGUGCCAGCCGCCGCGGUAAUAC